UACAUGGGGUGCAAACGUUGCUCGGAAUCAUUGGGCGUAAAGCGUGUGUAGGCGGAUUUGUAAGUACCUUGUGAAAUCCCACGGCUUAACCGUGGAACUGCUCGGUAUACUGCGAAUCUUGGGCCAUCUAGGGGCGAGCGGAACAAGUGGUGGAGCGGUGAAAUGCGUAGAUAUCGUUUGGAACGCCAACGGUGAAAACAGACAGCUGGGAGUGUGCUGACGCUGAGACACGAAAGCCAGGGGAGCGAACGGG
rnacentral:rRNA from 1 species